AAAUCAACCGAGAUUCCCCCAGUAGCGGCGAGCGAACGGGGAGCAGCCCAGAGCCUGAAUCAGUGUGUGUGUUAGUGGAAGCGUCUGGAAAGGCGUGCGAUACAGGGUGACAGCCCCGUACACAAAAAUGCACAUGCUGUGAGCUCGAUGAGUAGGGCGGGACACGUGGUAUCCUGUCUGAAUAUGGGGGGACCAUCCUCCAAGGCUAAAUACUCCUGACUGACCGAUAGUGAACCAGUACCGUGAGGGAAAGGCGAAAAGAACCCCGGCGAGGGGAGUGAAAAAGAACCUGAAACCGUGUACGUACAAGCAGUGGGAGCACGCUUAGGCGUGUGACUGCGUACCUUUUGUAUAAUGGGUCAGCGACUUAUAUUCUGUAGCAAGGUUAACCGAAUAGGGGAGCCGAAGGGAAACCGAGUCUUAACUGGGCGUUAAGUUGCAGGGUAUAGACCCGAAACCCGGUGAUCUAGCCAUGGGCAGGUUGAAGGUUGGGUAACACUAACUGGAGGACCGAACCGACUAAUGUUGAAAAAUUAGCGGAUGACUUGUGGCUGGGGGUGAAAGGCCAAUCAAACCGGGAGAUAGCUGGUUCUCCCCGAAAGCUAUUUAGGUAGCGCCUCGUGAAUUCAUCUCCGGGGGUAGAGCACUGUUUCGGCAAGGGGGUCAUCCCGACUUACCAACCCGAUGCAAACUGCGAAUACCGGAGAAUGUUAUCACGGGAGACACACGGCGGGUGCUAACGUCCGUCGUGAAGAGGGAAACAACCCAGACCGCCAGCUAAGGUCCCAAAGUCAUGGUUAAGUGGGAAACGAUGUGGGAAGGCCCAGACAGCCAGGAUGUUGGCUUAGAAGCAGCCAUCAUUUAAAGAAAGCGUAAUAGCUCACUGGUCGAGUCGGCCUGCGCGGAAGAUGUAACGGGGCUAAACCAUGCACCGAAGCUGCGGCAGCGACACUGUGUGUUGUUGGGUAGGGGAGCGUUCUGUAAGCCUGCGAAGGUGUGCUGUGAGGCAUGCUGGAGGUAUCAGAAGUGCGAAUGCUGACAUAAGUAACGAUAAAGCGGGUGAAAAGCCCGCUCGCCGGAAGACCAAGGGUUCCUGUCCAACGUUAAUCGGGGCAGGGUGAGUCGACCCCUAAGGCGAGGCCGAAAGGCGUAGUCGAUGGGAAACAGGUUAAUAUUCCUGUACUUGGUGUUACUGCGAAGGGGGGACGGAGAAGGCUAUGUUGGCCGGGCGACGGUUGUCCCGGUUUAAGCGUGUAGGCUGGUUUUCCAGGCAAAUCCGGAAAAUCAAGGCUGAGGCGUGAUGACGAGGCACUACGGUGCUGAAGCAACAAAUGCCCUGCUUCCAGGAAAAGCCUCUAAGCAUCAGGUAACAUCAAAUCGUACCCCAAACCGACACAGGUGGUCAGGUAGAGAAUACCAAGGCGCUUGAGAGAACUCGGGUGAAGGAACUAGGCAAAAUGGUGCCGUAACUUCGGGAGAAGGCACGCUGAUAUGUAGGUGAAGUCCCUCGCGGAUGGAGCUGAAAUCAGUCGAAGAUACCAGCUGGCUGCAACUGUUUAUUAAAAACACAGCACUGUGCAAACACGAAAGUGGACGUAUACGGUGUGACGCCUGCCCGGUGCCGGAAGGUUAAUUGAUGGGGUCAGCGCAAGCGAAGCUCUUGAUCGAAGCCCCGGUAAACGGCGGCCGUAACUAUAACGGUCCUAAGGUAGCGAAAUUCCUUGUCGGGUAAGUUCCGACCUGCACGAAUGGCGUAAUGAUGGCCAGGCUGUCUCCACCCGAGACUCAGUGAAAUUGAACUCGCUGUGAAGAUGCAGUGUACCCGCGGCAAGACGGAAAGACCCCGUGAACCUUUACUAUAGCUUGACACUGAACAUUGAGCCUUGAUGUGUAGGAUAGGUGGGAGGCUUUGAAGUGUGGACGCCAGUCUGCAUGGAGCCGACCUUGAAAUACCACCCUUUAAUGUUU
rnacentral:rRNA from 1 species